rnacentral:lncRNA from 1 species
GGAUGCUUGUUUCUCGUGAUGAGACGAUGAGAUGUGACCAGAAAAAGCAGGAGGAUAAAAACCAGCACCAGACAGCGGUGGUCCAGUUGUCAGGUCAGAACUCAAACAUGGCUCACUUUGUUUACAAAACCAGAAACUUUUGCAGAUUUUAAGUGUUUACAUUGGUCGGAAACAGAAAUGGAGUCCGGCGAGCUUGAAGAUCAAAAUCUGGCUGCGGGUGAUUCCGUCAGGGACCGGUUCUUAGAUGAUGAUGAUGAUGUGAUGGAGAUGUGCGUCACAAAACCCAUCUGUUCACCUGGCUUUCAUUCUGAGGACGUGACAGAAAUGUGCCCGGAGACGAUCGUACAGGAAAGUCCUGCAGAGGACCCGUUACUCAGACGCCACGUCGGUGAGGAGGCCUGGCGUCAGCAAAACCCCGUCCUGCAUUCUCAGACUAACGCUUUAACGGAAGCCGAGGUGGUGAGCGAUUCCCGCCGUUCGGAGCGUCGUUUUGCUCCUGAAAGACAACGAAGGAAGAGUGAUUCCUGUGGGCAGCAGGACCAAAGUCCACAAAAACGUUCACCUGUUCAGCGCUGCCGCCUGCAGCUGCACACCGCCGCGUCAACAUCAGAACAGCAGAACCCGUCGGGACCAAUCCGUAAAGCAGAAGCUGGCGAGCAGAGGGUGUCCCAGGCACAGACCACAACAUUAGUGGGAGGGAAAGCUCGAGGCUCCAGUUAUUUGUCCCAUUACCUAAAAGCCCUUAAGCUGGAAACCAAACACGUCAUCGGUAGGUCUCCUUCACGGCUUCGCCUCCCCGCAGCUGGCUGUCACGUUGUGUAA